rnacentral:rRNA from 1 species
AUUGAACGCUGGCGGCAGGCCUAACACAUGCAAGUCGAACGCGUGGUGGACGGGUGAGUAAUGUCGGGGAAACUGCCCGAUGGCGGGGGGUCACUACUCGAAACGGUAGCUAAUACCGCAUCCCAUCGGAUGUGCCCAGAUGGGAUUAGCUAGUGGGUGGGGUAACGCCUAAACUAGGCGACGAUCCCUAGCUGGUCUGAUAGGAUGAACAGCCACACUGGAACUGAGACACGGUCCGGACUCCUACGGAAGGCAGCAGUGGGGAAUAUUGCACAAUGGGCGCAAGCCUGAUGCAGCCAUGCCGCGUGUAUGAAGAAGGCCUUCGGUUUGUAAAGUACUUGCAGCGAGGAGGCGUUACUCGCAGAAUAAGCACCGGCUAACUCCGUGCCAGCAGCCGCGGUAAUAC